rnacentral:rRNA from 1 species
GGGCGACUGAAAGGGGAUGAUCCCAGCGCAUAACCUUGCGGUCUUGUUGUGGCCGUCGAGGGGUGUUGCGUUUUGGUGGAUCCGUACCGCUCGAGUUGCUGACCGCCUAAGUCAUUGCUUGAAUGCAGCCCCGAGGAGGGUGGUAGGCCCGUGUGGCGGCGCCUGUAAAAAGGUUGGAGGCAAUUCGGGCGGAGGGGUCUUUACCGUAGAGUCGGGUUGCUUAGUACUGCAGCCCUAAGUAGGUGGUAAACUCCAUCUAAGGCUAAAUACUACCACGAGUCCGAUAUUUGACAAGUACCGUGAGGGAAAGCUGAAAAGGACUCUGAAGAGAGAGUUCAAGAGGACGUGAAACCAUUAGAAGCUGAAACGGGUGGAACCGUGAAGGUGGAAAGAGGGGAUUCAGGUUGUGGGCGCGCGCCUGACGGUCCAGGUGCAGUCUGUGAGAGGACCCGGCGUUAGAGUUUGUUGCCGUGGCCCCUGGCUGUGAGCGCGCGCGCCGGCGGUCUUAGUUCUCCCUCGAGUACGAGUCGUGGCGAGCCGCUGGACGGAGCCCGAGAGCCCCUUGGGACUGGUAGCCUGCACCUUUGGUGUGGGUGAUGACCCUGGGGGUAAUUGGCGGCUGCGUGCGGCGGUGACNGCAAGGAGGCAG